rnacentral:lncRNA from 10 species
AGAAAGGAAAGGAGACAGAAGCAGCAACAUCUCAACAACCAAUUUCCAAUACUAUGAAUCAGAUCAUUUCAAAGCAGUUCCCAGAAACAUGAUACCCAGGGAGAACCCAACAAUGAAGUUAUGGUUGUUAUUUUUUUGAGAAGGGAAAGACUACUGAUGAGAGAUGCUUCCAAAUUAAAAGUGGCAAAGGACUCAGGAUAUUUAAGGAUGAGAUUCCAUUGCCUGAUCUCUUUGUCUUUACAUUCACUUAUCUGCAGUCUGACUCUCUCCUCUCACCAUGGAAUGGAAACUUAGAGUAAGUUCGUAUGUGGCAGUGCUUUGAAAUUCCAGAUGCACCAGAGAGCUUCAAAAACAAACAGAAAACAGAAGACUCAGGGCUACCCUAAAUCAACUGAUUCAUAAUUUCAGAAUGAGAUCCACAGGCAUUGGCAUUUUUUAGAUGAAAGAAAGCUUCCCAGGUGUCUCUAGUGUGCAGCUACGGCUGUGAUCCCCUGAGUUAGAAGCUGAGAAUGUGUGAAGAGGUGUUGCAUAAGGAGUAUCUUG